rnacentral:rRNA from 1 species
GACGAACGCUGGCGGCGUGCCUAACACAUGCAAGUCAACUUGACUGAAGGAGCAAUCUGACAGUAGAGUGGCGCAAGGGUGCGUAACGCGUAAGUAACUUGCCCCAAGGUAAGGAAUAACGUCGAGAAAUCGGCGCUAAUACCUCAUAAUGCAGCGGAUCCGCAUGGAUAUGUUGUUAAAGGUUUACCGCCUUGGGAUAGGCUUGCGUCUGAUUAGUUAGUUGGUGUGGUAACGGCACACCAAGGCUACGAUCAGUAACUGGUCUGAGAGGAUGAUCAGUCACACUGGAACUGAGACACGGUCCAGACUCCUAC